rnacentral:rRNA from 1 species
UACGUAGGGGGCAAGCGUUGUCCGGAUUCAUUGGGCGUAAAGAGCGUGUAGGCGGCCAGGUAGGUCGGUUGUGAAAACUGGAGGCUUAACCUCCAGACGUCGACGGAAACCGCGCGGCUAGAGUCCGGAAGAGGAGAGUGGAAUUCCUGGUGUAGCGGUGAAAUGCGCAGAUAUCAGGAAGAACACCAAUGGCGAAGGCGGCUUUCUGGGACGGUACUGACGCUGAGACGCGAAAGCGUGGGGAGCGAACAGG